rnacentral:tRNA from 1 species
UGGAGAGGUGGCCGAGUGGUUGAAGGCGCAGACCUGGAAAGUCUGUAACGGAGCAAUCUGUUCCUGGGUUCAAAUCCCAGUCUCUCCAU